rnacentral:lncRNA from 1 species
AGAGAGAAACACGCCCCGUGACUCAGAGGCUGUGCCAGGUGUCGGUGGGGCCAAGCCGCUGCCAGGCACAAGAGCAGUGGGAUGGAUCUAGUCCACAGGAAGGUCUUCUGGGGCAGGAGGAAAUCCAGGCUCGGAGGGGAAGAAGCUGGGAGCGAGUGUGGACAAAUCCUGCUGGCUGAGCCUCAGGGGCACCCGAGACAACAGCCCAGAGGACAUCCUUUGAACCUAAGGAGGAUUACCGGGUUUCUGAAAGGACUGCACACAAACAAAGGGCCCCAGAGUGUCAUUCCUCUGGACGAAACCUCCCAAGGCUUCCAACAGUUGGUGCAGGAGGGGAAGUUUCUGGAAGCCUACCUGAGCGUCUCCGCGUCAGCAUGGGAAGGGCAGGACUGCGGCCCCCAGUACCAGGCUCUGGCCCAGAGCAUGUGGCAAGUGGUCCAGCAGGCUCUGGAGGGCGUCAGGCUCGGCCAGGAGCUGGAGCUGAAGCUCCAGGCGGUGCUGGACACUGUGGAGUACACACAGGACCAGCCCCCGAGCCCGGAGGCCGGUACCCUCGAGGACGGCACAGUCGCCACCUGGGGCAGUCAGCUGGAGAGGCUGCUGAGAAAUGACGCUGAGGCCCGAGUGCCCACCUGGGACCCCAGGGACGAGCUGGGCCCUUUCCUGGAGAAGCUAAAGGAGGCUGUGAGACAGGGCCUGGGGUUGCUGAGGGCGAGCCGGCUGGGGGCCCGUCUCUGGACGAUCUACAGCACCUGCUUCCAGGAGGUCCUCCUCAGCCGCCUCUUGGAGCUCAAGCACUCCUGCGGCACCAGCUGGAACAGCUGCUGCGUGCUGUAUGCCUGGGGCAGGACGACCUUGUUUGGGCAGCUGGGCAGGGAGACGCUUCCGAAUGCACCUUCCACCUCCCAGAAGCCCACGGCCGGGUACCUCUUGGACUCCAUGAUGUUUGUGACCUGGAUGUCCCAAGUGCAGAAGAAGCUGGUGGGGCUGGUCCAGGUACCAGGACAAGGCUGUCCACUUCCUGCAGCAGAACGCCACUGCGGGGGCCUUCCCCGAGGUGCACCUGCUGGGAAACUGCUGCAUCCUCAGAAUCUGCUGAGGGGCCACUUCGGAAGGAAGGAGAGGGAUCUGGUCAAGGCUCUGCAGUCCCUGUGGCAGGGCCUGGAGGGCUGUCCCAGCCUGCACUCCACUCCCGUGUAUGAGAGCAUCAUGCAAAGUUUGCACAUGGUGGUCUUUGGGGAGUACGUCCAGGCCCUGGCCACCCACCUCAGGAUGCUGGCGCCCAGGAAGUGGGGGAGCCUGAGGACUCAGGUGGAGACGGACAUCUGGAAGUUGGACAACAUCUUCAGGAAGCACGGGCAUGCAGGACCAGCCAUGCAGCUCUGUGGACUUGGAGGUUGAGGUCAAGGGAAGAUCCUGCUGCUGCUGCUGAUCCCCCAGCUCUGCACCAG